CACACUCUGUCCUUGGAGGAACCCCUUCUCCUCGCUGCCUGUAGGGGUUCGGAGUGACUCCACAGAGCCAGAGGCGCUUCUGCUCACCGGUCCGCAAGCUGCCUGGUCUGCUGAAGCUGACGAAUCGGGAAACCAUGCAAUUGAGGCGAACCUUGGGCUGCUUUAGAGGCGCUGAGGAGCCUUCUCCUGGUCCACAGGAGAAGCACAAUGCCAAAGAAAAGAGAGGUGCUCUCCUAGCUGCCUGCACCUUGGGCCACGGCGACAUCUCGAAAGGGGCAAGGCUUGCUGUACAGAUAGAUAACUCUAAAGGGUCCACGGCUGCUAAGACGCACUUAGCUUUCUCCAGAGGAGGAGAUGGGGAUUAAGAAGACAAAAUAACGACUGCCAUUCUCCAAGAGCAAAGACGUACUUUGGGAAAAUGAAAGAAAAAAAGAGAGCAAAGAACAGUCAGGCAGAUUGAGCAGAGAUGGGGCUCCAGACUUGGGGGCUCCCCACAACUCCCUUCUUAGAAGGUGCCAGGGUGUCACAACAGUCAAAAGUGAAAAAUGAAAACCAUUUUCCCUUUCCCCAUGCAGGAAAUAGCCAAAGGUAUUUACAUAUCUUGGGGAGAUUUAGAGUAUAAACGCUAAGAUCUUUGGUAUUUAAGUGUCAACAUCGAUUUAUUUAUUUAUUGCUGAGCUGACUGUAACUGACUCAAUAACAAAUUUAAUCAUGUAUUGCUCUGGAAAAGAACUACUCUCGUUAUGUAUUUUCUCCAAAUAAUGACCCACCAUUGCAUUUGAAUGCCCACUGUAAAUAUCAAUAAUAUCAAGUAAUUACUGUGUAGUGGAGUAAACUAAUUUAUUAGCAUUAAUGUUUAUGUGGCUCCAAGCCCCCCUCCCCUCUUUUACAAGGGCUGCUUAUCACAAAUCAAGCUACUCGGACACAUUGGUUUAAUGAACUCUUUAUUCAGGAUUUGCUGCAGAAACUUUCAUGCCCCUUGAAAUCCCUGAGAGCUGAACUUGAAAUUAUUUGUGCAUCUCCAGCUUGACAUAUUUGUCCACUGUGGCUUCAUAGAUGUCUUUGUGGUGUGUGAAGGAAAUCUAGGAGGGCGAGAGGUUGUUGGGGAAGGAUAGCUUCAGGCCUUCCAAGGCUGGGGAUCAAAGCCACAGGAUGGUCCUGCAGCAAAAACUUCUAUUUCCAGCAGUCACCAAGGAGGCAAGCAUAUUUGUUCUCUUCACAAUAUCUUUCUGGGGAUCAAAUAUGAAAGGGAGGUGGGGUUGCAAACGGUCUUAUUUGAGCAGUUCCCUGGAUUGGUUUUGCUACCUCAAACUUUCGCCAACAGCCCACCCAGUCCUCAAUACCCUUUCCCUCGAACAAAAGGAAUGCCUGAAGGGUUUCAGUGACUUUGCCAUAACAAAGGCGCCACCAUUGCUGGGCUCGCCCCGCCCCUGGGUGAAGGCAAACAAAUUCUUGCACUUGUAUUAGGGCUUUUAAGACCAUAAUUGAACCCGGGGGCGUCUAGGAGAACCGAAAACAGUUCUAGACAGACCUGUGGUUUUAUAGUAGUUUUGGCAGUCAACUUCAGCUUGUGCCUUAACAGUGGGGCCGAGGUGGCCCAGCCGCGGGGGACGCUAGGCCGCCUCCCCUGACUCUACAUGGCAGCUUCUCUCAUAAUUAACUCGACAUCCUGGGAUGCCAGGGAGAAGGGGUACCCGCAGAAAGGAGGCCCAAGGUCGAUUUCAGCCCACCAGGAUCUGGG
rnacentral:sRNA from 1 species